AUGUAUCACGCGGACACUCCGGUUAUGAGCGCGCCGUCCACGCCCACCUGACGGCUGCUUGCUAUGUGUUGUUAGCC
rnacentral:sRNA from 1 species